GUGGGGAAUAUUGGGCAAUGGGCGAAAGCCUGACCCAGCAACGCCGCGUGAAGGAAGAAGGUUUUCGGAUCGUAAACUUCUAUCCUUGGUGAAGAUAAUGACGGUAGCCAAGAAGGAAGCCCCGGCUAACUACGUGCCAGCAGCCGCGGUAAUACGUAGGGGGCAAGCGUUGUCCGGAAUGAUUGGGCGUAAAGGGCGCGUCGGCGGCCUGGUAAGUAUGGAGUGAAAGUCCUGCUUUUAAGGUGGGAAUUGCGUUGGAUACUGACGGGCUUGAGUGCAGGAGAGGUAAGCGGAAUUCCCGGUGUAGCGGUGAAAUGCGUAGAGAUCGGGAGGAACACCAGUGGCGAAGGCGGCUUACUGGACUGUAACUGACGCUGAGGCGCGAAAGCGUGGGGAUCAAACAGGAUUAGAUACCCGAGUAGUCC
rnacentral:rRNA from 1 species